rnacentral:rRNA from 1 species
AGAGUCGAGUUGUUUGGGAAUGCAGCUCUAAGUGGGUGGUAAAUUCCAUCUAAAGCUAAAUAUUGGCGAGAGACCGAUAGCGAACAAGUACAGUGAUGGAAAGAUGAAAAGAACUUUGAAAAGAGAGUGAAAAAGUACGUGAAAUUGUUGAAAGGGAAGGGCUUGAGAUCAGACUUGGUAUUUUGCGAUCCUUUCCUUCUUGGUUGGGUUCUCCGCAGCUUACUGGGC